rnacentral:rRNA from 1 species
GUAAGGAAUAUUGGACAAUGGACGCAAGUCUGAUCCAGUCAUGCCGCGUGAAGGAUUAAGGUCCUCUGGAUUGUAAACUUCUUUUAUAAGGGACGAAAAAAGGCUUUUCUAAGUCGUCUGACGGUACCUUAUGAAUAAGCACCGGCUAACUCCGUGCCAGCAGCCGCGGUAAUACGGAGGGUGCAAGCGUUAUCCGGAUUCACUGGGUUUAAAGGGUGCGUAGGCGGGCAGGUAAGUCAGUGGUGAAAUCCUAGAGCUUAACUCUAGAACUGCCAUUGAUACUAUCUGUCUUGAAUAUUGUGGAGGUAAGCGGAAUAUGUCAUGUAGCGGUGAAAUGCUUAGAUAUGACAUAGAACACCUAUUGCGAAGGCAGCUUACUACGCAUAUAUUGACGCUGAGGCACGAAAGCGUGGGGAUCAAACAGGAUUAGAAACCCGAGUAGUCC